rnacentral:misc_RNA from 1 species
GGCUUAGAGAACCCUGAUUUCUAAAGAGAGGAAAAACAACAUGCAGGAUAAGCACAAAAUAAAAUAAACAUAUAUACAAAUUGCUACUGUCAAUUACAACAUUAUAAAAGAGAAUGCACUGCCAGAGAUUCAAUUCAAGUUCUACAGGUCAAAUCAUUGAUGCAAGAAUAGUUGCAAUAUAGUGCCAUCAAUAACAAGAAGAUGACAACUUAACCAAAGAAACAAUAACCAGCACAAGGAAACAAAAGAGAGGGAAGAUGGAAAGGAAGAAACAAACAUGAAAAUAUCCUUAGACUUACCAAAUUGAUCCUACAAAGUGUUCCUUCUUCUAAUAAUUAUUUAAUCAAUUACUUGAGCAUUUUGCUCUGUUGGUCACUAUAAAG